GACAAUGUGGUAGAGUGGUUAAUACGUUGGACUGCUAAUCCAUGCCGGUUCUCGGCUCGCGAGUUCGAAUCUCGUCGUUGUCG